CCCUGGUACUACCCAUAGAUCCCGCUCUCCUCAGUCUGAGAAAACACUGAGAGAGAAAGAACAACUUGUCAGGUGGUGCAUUGGAGACUGAUGUGUUCCUGUCCUGUCUUUUCAUAAUACUAUUGCAGAUCUGCCAACCAGCCUAACCCACAGCUAGAGUGGGACACUGUCCUUUUUCCUGUGAGGACAAUCUGACAAAUACUGGCACUAUUCACAGAGCAACAGAUGGCAAAUGGAAUGCGGAGUUUGUAUGGAUGAAAGGACACGAAGAGUCUAGGACACAGAGAGACAGACGGACGGACGGGAGGACGGCCGGGUGUGCAGACAGCCAGACAGACUCAGGAUAUCUUCUGCUCAAAGUCUCUCAGACUCAAACAAAGUUAUUUGUCCUGGGGCGGACCUCAGAUAAAAAUGACAAAUUAAUGUAAAGUUUUAACAAACAUGUUUUAACUAGAUUUACAGCACUUUCACUCAGUAAUGGUUUUUCUAUAGACUGGCAUGAACACACCAGUACUACUGUUUCUCUAGCUUUGCUGUUAAGUAGAUUUUCCUCACACUCCUAUGUGUGUGUGUGUGUGUGUGUGUGUGUGUGUGUGUGUGUGUGUGUGUGUGUGUGUGUGUG
rnacentral:lncRNA from 1 species